rnacentral:rRNA from 1 species
GUGUAUUUAUUAGAUAAAAAACCAAUGCCCUUCGGGGCUCCUUGGUGAAUCAUAAUAACUUAACGAAUCGCAUGGCCUUGCGCCGGCGAUGGUUCAUUCAAAUUUCUGCCCUAUCAACUUUCGAUGGUAAGAUAGAGGCUUACCAUGGUCUUAACGGGUAACGGGGAAUUAGGGUUCUAUUCCGGAGAGGGAGCCUGAGAAACGGCUACCACAUCCAAGGAAGGCAGCAGGCGCGCAAAUUACCCAAUCCCGACACGGGGAGGUAGUGACAAUAAAUACUGAUACGGGGCUCUUUUGGGUCUCGUAAUUGGAAUGAGUACAAUCUAAAUCCCUUAACGAGGAACAAUUGGAGGGCAAGUCUGGUGCCAGCAGCCGCGGUAAUUCCAGCUCCAAUAGCGUAUAUUAAAGUUGUUGCCGUUAAAAAGCUCGUAGUUGAACCUUGGGCCUGGCUGACCUGUCCUCCUAAUCGAGCGCACGGGUUCGGUCGGGCCUUUCCUUCUAGGGAACCCCAUGCCCUUCGCUGGGUGUGGUGGGGAACUAGGACUUUUACCUUGAAAAAAUUAGAGUGUUCAAAGCAGGCCUUUGCUCGAAUACAUUAGCAUGGAAUAAUAGAAUAGGACAUCGGUUCUAUUUUGUUGGUUUCUAG